rnacentral:tRNA from 1 species
AGUCCUGUAGCUCAAGGGGAGAGCGCUUGCCCUACAAGCAAUGGGUUGUGGGUACUGCUUCGCAGAAGCAAGCUACAAAUCCUACCAGGACUA